rnacentral:rRNA from 1 species
GACGAACCGAGCGAACGUUGUUCGGAAUCACUGGGCUUAAAGGGCGCGUAGGCGGGUGCCCAAGUCCGGGGUGAAAGCCUCCAGCUCAACUGGAGAAUUGCCCCGGAUACUGGGCGUCUGGAGUGGGGUAGGGGUGUGCGGAACGCUGGGUGGAGCGGUGAAAUGCGUUGAUAUCCAGCGGAACUCCGGUGGCGAAAGCGGCACACUGGACCCCGUCUGACGCUGAGGCGCGAAAGCCAGGGGAGCGAACGGG